rnacentral:piRNA from 1 species
UAUCUAAAAGUCACAUGCUUCCAAUAUGC